CGUGCCCUUCCCUCUCUUAAUCUCUGUUUUUUUUUUUUCCUCAUGCCGUCGAGGUUCGCCAAAGAGAUGUUGGCUGCAGAAGAAUUUUCCAAGAUGAAGUGAGACCAUGACGCCCGAAAGUGAAUUUUGUUAUACAUAUUCGAGCAAUCAGAUGGUUUUCUCAUCACAAUGAGGCGCACAUCUUCAUAUUUAAAUUGGCAGUGACUGUUGCAGCUAUGGUGACCGAGCUCGUGUUGGUAAUAGUGGCUCUUUCUUCAAUGAAGUUGGAUCGGAGAACCCUUCACCAAGAAACCUUGAAGCGACUCCUAAUUAUAGUCAUGGUGAUUGCAUCGAAGCAAUCUUCAAAAAAAAAAAAAAAAAAAAAGGAUUACAUUGAAUUAAGCACCAUGCCACCAUCCGUCGACCAAUAUCAGCUUCCCAAUGCACCCAUUCCGUCUGAACUUCUCCGCCAGAGAACAAAAUACUUGAAGGCUUUGAUACAUUACCAGUUUAAACGAA